UACGUAGGGUGCAAGCGUUGUCCGGAAUUAUUGGGCGUAAAGAGCUCGUAGGCGGUCUGUCGCGUCGGUAGUGAAAACUCAGGGCUUAACCCUGAGCCUGCUUCCGAUACGGGCAGACUAGAGGUAUGCAGGGGAGAAUGGAAUUCCUGGUGUAGCGGUGAAAUGCGCAGAUAUCAGGAGGAACACCGGUGGCGAAGGCGGGUCUCUGGGCAGUAACUGACGCUGAGGAGCGAAAGCGUGGGUAGCAAACAGG
rnacentral:rRNA from 1 species